AUGCUGGAAGGCUGGGAUGCUGGGAUACAAGGUUGCUGAUGUGCUGGGAGGCUGGGAUGCUAGGAUACAAGGUUGCUGAUGUGCUGGGAGGCUGGGAUGCUAGGAUACAAGGUUGCUGGGAUGUGCUGGGAGGCUGGGAUGCUAGGAUACAAGGUUGCUCAUGUGCUGGGAGGCUGGGAGGCUAGGAUACAAGGUUGCUGAUGUGCUGGGUGGCUGGGAUGCUAGGAUACAAGGUUGCUGAUGUGCUGGGAGGCUGGGA